AAUAGAUGACGCCGUGGACUUUUUCUCAUAUGUUUGACCAUUCGUCUUAUUCAAAAAAUUUACAUAAUUAUAAUUUAUUUUGUUAUGAGUUGUUUUAUCACUCACAAUACUUUAAGUGUGAUUUAUAUCUUAUACAUUUGCAAAAAAAAAAUUUGAAUAAGACGAAUGGUCAAACAUAUGAGAAAAAGUCAACGGCGUCAUCUAUU
rfam:Oryza sativa (indica cultivar-group) chromosome 10, whole genome shotgun sequence.